rnacentral:rRNA from 1 species
GGCAUUGUCAUGGGGGCACCCCUGUCAGCCUGCCGCGUGUGUGAAGAAGGCCCUCGGGUUGUAAAGCACUUUCAGCGAGGAAGAACGCCUGGUGGUUAAUACCCGUCAGGAAAGACAUCACUCGCAGAAGAAGCACCGGCUAACUCCGUGCCAGCAGCCGCGGUAAUACGGAGGGUGCGAGCGUUAAUCGGAAUUACUGGGCGUAAAGCGCGCGUAGGUGGCUUGAUAAGCCGGUUGUGAAAGCCCCGGGCUCAACCUGGGAACGGCAUCCGGAACUGUCAGGCUAGAGUGCAGGAGAGGAAGGUAGAAUUCCCGGUGUAGCGGUGAAAUGCGUAGAGAUCGGGAGGAAUACCAGUGGCGAAGGCGGCCUUCUGGACUGACACUGACACUGAGGUGCGAAAGCGUGGGUAGCAAACAGGAUUAGAUACCCUGGUAGUCCACGCCGUAAACGAUGUCGACCAGCCGUUGGGUGCCUAGCGCACUUUGUGGCGAAGUUAACGCGAUAAGUCGACCGCCUGGGGAGUACGGCCGCAAGGUUAAAACUCAAAUGAAUUGACGGGGGCCCGCACAAGCGGUGGAGCAUGUGGUUUAAUUCGAUGCAACGCGAAGAACCUUACCUACUCUUGACAUCUACAGAAGCCGGAAGAGAUUCCGGUGUGCCUUCGGGAACUGUAAGACAGGUGCUGCAUGGCUGUCGUCAGCUCGUGUUGUGAAAUGUUGGGUUAAGUCCCGUAACGAGCGCAACCCUUGUCCUUAUUUGCCAGCACGUAAUGGUGGGAACUCUAGGGAGACUGCCGGUGACAAACCGGAGGAAGGUGGGGACGACGUCAAGUCAUCAUGGCCCUUACGAGUAGGGCUACACACGUGCUACAAUGGCCCGGUACAAAAGGGCUGCCAACUC